rnacentral:rRNA from 1 species
UGGGGAAUUGUUCGCAAUGGGCGCAAGCCUGACGACGCAACGCCGCGUGGAGGAUGAAGAUCUUCGGGUCGUAAACUCCUUUCGAUCGAGACGAAUGGCCUCUGGGCUAAUACACCGGAGGAAUGACGGUACCGAGAGAAGAAGCCCCGGCUAACUCCGUGCCAGCAGCCGCGGUAAUACGGGGGGGGCAAGCGUUGUUCGGAAUUACUGGGCGUAAAGGGCUCGUAGGCGGCCAACUAAGUCAGACGUGAAAUCCCUCGGCUUAACCGGGGAACUGCGUCUGAUACUGGAUGGCUUGAGAUUGGGAGAGGGAUGCGGAAUUCCAGGUGUAGCGGUGAAAUGCGUAGAUAUCUGGAGGAACACCGGUGGCGAAGGCGGCAUCCUGGACCAACACUGACGCUGAUGAGCGAAAGCCAGGGGAGCAAACGGGAUUAGAUACCCCCGUAGUCC